GACGAACGCUGGCGGCGUGCUUAACACAUGCAAGUCGAACGAAGUGGCGAACUGGUGCGUAACGCGUAAUCAACCUGCCCUUCAGAGGGGGACACCAGUUGGAAACGACUGCUAAUACCGCAUACUCAAGGAGGGGCUUGCUUCUGAUUAGCUAGUUGGAGGGGUAACGGCCCACCAAGGCGAUGAUCAGGAGCCGGUCUGAGAGGCCGAACGGCCACAGUGGGACGGAGACACGGCCCAGAGUACUACGGGAGGCAGAAGUGGGGAAUCGUCCGCAAUGGACGAAAGUCUGACGGAGCAACGCCGCGUGAGUUAUGACGGCCUUCGAGUUGUAAAGCUCUGUUAAUCGGGACGCGGUAUCUUACCAGAAAGCCACGGCUAACUACGUGCCAGCAGCCGCGGUAAUUC
rnacentral:rRNA from 1 species